GACGAACGCUGGCGGCGUGCUUAACACAUGCAAGUCGAACGGAAAGGCCCUGCUUUUGUGGGGUGCUCGAGUGGCGAACGGGUGAGUAACACGUGAGUAACCUGCCCUUGACUUUGGGAUAACUUCAGGAAACUGGGGCUAAUACCGGGUAGGAGCUCCUGCUGCAUGGUGGGGGUUGGAAAGUUUCGGCGGAUGGGGAUGGACUCGCGGCUUAUCAGCUUGUUGGUGGGGUAGUGGCUUACCAAGGCUUUGACGGGUAGCCGGCCUGAGAGGGUGACCGGCCACAUUGGGACUGAGAUACGGCCCAGACUCCUACGGGAGGCAGCAGUGGGGAAUAUUGCACAAUGGGCGGAAGCCUGAUGCAGCAACGCCGCGUGCGGGAUGACGGCCUUCGGGUUGUAAACCGCUUUCGCCUGUGACGAAGCGUGAGUGACGGUAAUGGGUAAAGAAGCACCGGCUAACUACGUG
rnacentral:rRNA from 1 species